rnacentral:rRNA from 1 species
AAACAUCUUUUCUUGUUAGUUUUUGAAGUAUGGCCUGCCCGCUGACAUUUGGUGUUGAAGGGCCGCGGUAUUUUGACCGUGCAAAGGUAGCAUAAUCAUUAGUUCUUUAAUUGUGAUCUGGAAUGAAUGGCUUGACGAGGCACGGGCUGUCUUAGUGUUGAAUGUUUUAUUGAAUUUGGUCUUUGAGUUAAAAUUCUUAGAUGUUUUUGUGGGACGAGAAGACCCUAUAGAGUUUGACAUUUGGUUUAUUUACUUGUUUGUUGUUUGUUUAUUUUUGGUGAGUGGGCUUUUUGUUUUGUUGGGGUGAUGGGAGGAAUGUACUUAACUCCUCUUAGUUUUGGUUAUAUUGAUUUAUAAUUGUUUGAUCCAUUUAUUUUGAUUGUAAGACUAAAUUACCUUA